GGGUGGAUUAGUGGCGAACGGGUGAGUAACACGUGGGCAAUCUGCCCUUCACUCUGGGACAAGCCCUGGAAACGGGGUCUAAUACCGGAUAAUACUCCUGCCUGCAUGGGCGGGGGUUGAAAGCUCCGGCGGUGAAGGAUGAGCCCGCGGCCUAUCAGCUUGUUGGUGGGGUAAUGGCCCACCAAGGCGACGACGGGUAGCCGGCCUGAGAGGGCGACCGGCCACACUGGGACUGAGACACGGCCCAGACUCCUACGGGAGGCAGCAGUGGGGAAUAUUGCACAAUGGGCGAAAGCCUGAUGCAGCGACGCCGCGUGAGGGAUGACGGCCUUCGGGUUGUAAACCUCUUUCAGCAGGGAAGAAGCGAAAGUGACGGUACCUGCAGAAGAAGCGCCGGCUAACUACGUGCCAGCAGCCGCGGUAAUACGUAGGGCGCAAGCGUUGUCCGGAAUUAUUGGGCGUAAAGAGCUCGUAGGCGGCUUGUCACGUCGGAUGUGAAAGCCCGAGGCUUAACCUCGGGUCUGCAUUCGAUACGGGCUAGCUAGAGUGUGGUAGGGGAGAUCGGAAUUCCUGGUGUAGCGGUGAAAUGCGCAGAUAUCAGGAGGAACACCGGUGGCGAAGGCGGAUCUCUGGGCCAUUACUGACGCUGAGGAGCGAAAGCGUGGGGAGCGAACAGGAUUAGAUACCCUGGUAGUCCACGCCGUAAACGUUGGGAACUAGGUGUUGGCGACAUUCCACGUCGUCGGUGCCG
rnacentral:rRNA from 1 species